rnacentral:rRNA from 1 species
GACGGGUGAGUAACGCGUGGGUAACCGUGCCUCAUACAGGGGGGAGUAACAGUUGGAAACGACUGCUAAUACCGCAUAAGCGCACAGGAUCGCAUGAUCCGGUGUGAAAAACUCCGGUGGUAUGAGAUGGACCCGCGUCUGAUUAGCCAGUUGGCAGGGUAACGGCCUACCAAAGCGACGAUCAGUAGCCGACCUGAGAGGGUGACCGGCCACAUUGGGACUGAGACACGGCCCAAACUCCUACGGGAGGCAGCAUG